rnacentral:rRNA from 1 species
GCUGGUGGCCUUAGCGCAGGGGAUACACUCGUUCCCAUCUCGAACACGACCGUUAAGUCCUGCAGCGCGGAUGGUACUGCCGGGGAGAUCCGGUGGGAGAGUACGUCGUCGCCAGCG